rnacentral:rRNA from 1 species
CACGGAGGGUGCGAGCGUUGUCCGGAAUUAUUGGGCGUAAAGAGCGCGUAGGCGGUGUGUCGCGUCGGCCGUGAAAACCUGCAGCUUAACUGUGGGCUUGCGGUCGAUACGGGCAUCACUGGAGUUCGGCAGGGGAGGCUGGAAUUCCUGGUGUAGCGGUGAAAUGCGCAGAUAUCAGGAGGAACACCGGUGGCGAAGGCGGGUAUCUGGGCCGAUACUGACGCUGAGGAGCGAAAGCGUGGGGAGCGAACAGG